rnacentral:rRNA from 1 species
AUUGAACGCUGGCGGCAGGCCUAACACAUGCAGGUCGAGCGGGGUUUUCGGACCUAGCGGCGGACGGGUGAGUAAUGCGUAGGAAGCUACCCGAUAGAGGGGGAUACCAGUUGGAAACGACUGUUAAUACCGCAUAAUGUCUACGGACCAAAGUGUGGGACCUUCGGGCCACAUGCUAUCGGAUGCGCCUACGUGGGAUUAGCUAGUUGGUGAGGUAAUGGCUCACCAAGGCGACGGUCCCUAGCUGGUUUGAGAGGAUGAUCAGCCACACUGGAACUGAGACACGGUCCAGACUCCUACGGGAGGCAGCAGUGGGGAAUAUUGGACAAUGGGCGAAAGCCUGAUCCAGCCAUGCCGCGUGUGUGAAGAAGGCCUUCGGGUUGUAAAGCACUUUCAGUAAGGAGGAAGAGUUGUGUGUUAAUAGUACACAGCUUUGACGUUACUUACAGAAGAAGCACCGGCUAACUCUGUGCCAGCAGCCGCCGUAAAAC